CACGUAGGAGGCGAGCGUUGUCCGGAAUCAUUGGGCGUAAAGAGCGCGCAGGCGGCUUGGCAAGUCGGGUGUGAAAUCCCGGGGCUCAACCCCGUGACUGCAUUCGAUACUGUCAGGCUAGAGGUAGGUAGGGGAGAUCGGAAUUCCUGGUGUAGCGGUGAAAUGCGCAGAUAUCAGGAGGAACACCGGUGGCGAAGGCGGAUCUCUGGGCCUUACCUGACGCUCAGGCACGAAAGCGUGGGGAGCAAAAGG
rnacentral:rRNA from 1 species